CUUCAAUUGAAAUGUGAUACAAUAGAACAAAAUGCUAUUACAUUAACCUAAUUAUGAAGUUACUUGCUAAGAGCAAGUUUUAGAGUAUUUAUGUUGGUUUAAAAGCCAAAAAGGUUAUCAGCUGUACUUCUACAGACUCUGAGGCUCCUAUCUUUGUUUGAUUUACCAAUUUCUAAAUUUAGGUGGAGGAUGCUGCCAUGCACUUGAACUGCUGGUCGAUUUUUCAUGAACAGACAAGGGGACAAUAUCAGAAAGGAUACAAGAAUUGUGGUCAAGAAAUGUUAAUACACAAAAGACAUUUUUAUAUAAUAGAAAAUAUACAAAAUGGCAAGCACAACAUUUAAAAAACUAAAUGGCUUUGUUUAGUUAGCUGGAACUGUGUAAGUUUCCGUGUAUAGAAGCCUCUGCAAUGAACACAUGGUAAUUCCUUACUCAGAAUGGAAAAAUGGGAGACUUGGGGUAGUUUAAAUGUUUUUGUAUUUCUUUCUCAUUUCAGCUUUGCACAAGACUCUACAAUCUUAAAUUUUUGCAGCUGGAAGAACAACAAUCUAGAGAUAAAUACAUCUACUUUGAAGAAGUAAGUAAGUAGAAUAUUGGAGAUUAGAAUUCAGAUAUUGUGAUUCGAAGGGAUAGGGCCAACCCUUAGAAGUACAGUGCCUCUUAGACAACCUCUCCUCUUGUCAAAGAGAAUCUUCUAUCUACCUGAUACUAAACAGUUCAGUCACACGCCUCACGGAUCAGGAGCCUGCUUACUGAAGACUACAGCCAUAGAGAACACUAGAAGCAAGACGAAGAAAAAGCUCGGAGGAACACACGGCUGAAACCAAGUUGUCCCACUGUUAUGAAGCAUGGAGAAGACCCCAAGAGUAUGCUAUAUCAGCCAGGCCACAUUUAAGAAGGAUGGGAUGAGGAAUGAAAGAACAGAGAAGCCAUGGAAGUCAGAACAUCUUUCUGCAGCAGGCUGAGCUGGCCCCACAAUGUAGCCAAGGUCCCAGUCUCCUCAUUCUGGAGCUGAAACAUCACACAGUGCAUCUAUCUGACCUUCACCCCAACAUGUGGUCCAAAGCUCAGCAGCCGAGAGAAACACGGGCCUAUGGCAGCACUUGGGAUCCCAGAGGAUACAGUGCCAUCAGGAGGAAAUGGGCAAUCAACUUGGAAGGCAAUAAGCUGGUGUGCAAAACACAAUGGAUUUGGGAAAAUAAGUAUAAUAAAUUAAUAUUGGAGCAAUUUCUACUAUUGGAGUGGUAUCCUACAAAUAAUGAAUAUUCGGGUGAAAGUAAAAGUCAACAGGUAGUAACAUAGCAAUACUGGUUCCUUAGUUCUAACAAAUGCACCCUG
rnacentral:lncRNA from 13 species